rnacentral:rRNA from 1 species
GACGAACGCUGGCGGCGUGCUUAACACAUGCAAGUCGAACGGAAAGGCCCUGCUUUUGUGGGGUGCUCGAGUGGCGAACGGGUGAGUAACACGUGAGUAACCUGCCCUUGACUUUGGGAUAACUUCAGGAAACUGGGGCUAAUACCGGAUAGGAGCUCCUGCUGCAUGGUGGGGGUUGGAAAGUUUCGGCGGUUGGGGAUGGACUCGCGGCUUAUCAGCUUGUUGGUGGGGUAGUGGCUUACCAAGGCUUUGACGGGUAGCCGGCCUGAGAGGGUGACCGGCCACAUUGGGACUGAGAUACGGCCCAGACUCCUACGGGAGGCAGCAGUCGGGAAUAUUGCACAAUGGGCGGAAGCCUGAUGCAGCAACGCCGCGUGCGGGAUGACGGCCUUCGGGUUGUAAACCGCUUUCGCCUGUGACGAAGCGUGAGUGACGGUAAUGGGUAAAGAAGCACCGGCUAACUACGU